AAAAGGGGUUAAGUAAAGAGAUCGCUGCGAGGAGUCUUGUCACUUGCAUUUGAGCGGAGACCUAGGAGGAACAGACUUUUGUUUCUCCAGACUCAUCAUCCCCGAUCCCAAGGGAAGAGAUGAGUGAUUCUGCACGACCUUCAGAGGCCCUGGGGGAAGGAAUAGGAGUCUCUCUAUCUCAGGCAGGUCUGAUGGUUCACUACUUCUUCUGCACAGUACUUGAGACUAAGGACCGUUUUUCAAGGCUAUCUAUAAUCCCAUGUGGCAUGCUGUAUUUUCCAAAGAGGCCAGAAUAUCUUUCAUCCCACAUGCUCUUCUCACAAUAUAACUUUGAAACUUCAUCCAUCAAGAGAUAGAGUCUUGUGCCUAUAGCAGAAGUGACACUAUGGGACUCUAAAGGGAGAUACAGCUGUGCCUGGCUCUUUUGGGAUGCUUGCUCUUGGAAAUUAAGCCUCCAUGCUAUGAGGAAGCCCAAGCAGCCACAUAAAGAAUAUGCAUGCAGGGUUCCAGGUGACAGUCCCAACUGAGACCCCAGCUGACAGCCAGCAGCAACUGCCAGACAUAUGGGUGAAUAAGCCUAUGGGUGAUUCCAGCCCCAGGCCAGCCAGCAAAUCACUCCCUGCCUUUGACCCUUCCGAGAAC